CACUGCUUAAAUAAUAAUGUAAUUAAUUUAUUUAUUACUUAUAAUUAAUUAGCUAAUUAAUUAUUAAUAACUUAAUAGUUUUCUGCAUAAACUAAUAUUUAUAUUUCUAAUUAAUUUUUUACUAGCUAUCUAACUAAAAUAAUUUACUAACUAAUUAAAAAGUUAAAUUAUUUUUAUAUUUAAUUAAUUAAUUAAUAUAUUUUUAUUAUCUUAUAUAAUAUUCAUAGCUAAUAAAUUUAUUAAUUUAUUAAAUUAUUUUAAUUAAUAUUUUGAUGUUAAUUAAUUAGAUAAAAUUUUUUAAUUUAAAAUUUUAACUCUUAUUCCUUAUAUUUCAAUAUAACCAUCCAAACACUAUUUACUUUAUUAUCUAUACCUGAAAUUUUAUCUAUUUCUGAAAUAAACAGUUCUUACUUAUAUCCGACCCAAACGCAGCCUUAAUAGAUCUACAGCUGUCAUAUCAUUUUACGUAGUAUCAGAGCAGUAGGUACAGAGUUCAAAUCACGCUAGGCUUUUAGUAUAAUUAAUUUUCUCACAUUUAAUUCAAAUUCAUUAUAGUUAUAUCAAGAAGUCUUAAACCCAAACAUAUAUAAAAGAGAAUGUUAAAUAUAAAAAUAUAAAAAUAUUAUUUUUUACAAAUUUAAAUUUUUAGAAUAUAGCGAUUGUUUCACAGUUUUAGAUCAGCUCUAACGGCUUAAAAUCUUUUCAUAGCACUUCU
rnacentral:lncRNA from 1 species